ensembl:lincRNA Gm26721 predicted gene, 26721
AAAAUGAGGGCUGGACUGAGGUAUGGAAGGAUCCCGCGCGCUGGCUGCAACAGAGCCGGCAGGUAAAAGCAGUAUCUGGAUCCUGGGUGAUGCGACAGGAAGGGGAUGUGGUGUGGAUCCCGCUACCCUGGGAGACCAGACCUACAAUAAAAAAAAUAAAUAAAUAAAUAAAUUUAAAAAAAAAAACGAGGGAGGGACGCAAAGCCAGGACUGGAGCGUAGGUAGGAUGGGAUGAGAACAGCCCCCCUCCCCCAAACAGAAGAGAGAGCCUUGGCAACCGGACAGGGUCCUGGAGCUGACCAGGCUGCAGGAGCGGAGGAGAGGGCUGCAACCAAGGCUUUGCAUAGAUGAUACUGUCUCAUUCUGCAGCAGUCUGGCCUGGAACUACAGAACCCAGGCUGGACUCAAAUUAAUGGCAAUUCUCCUGCCUCAGCCUCCUGAAUUCUAGGACAUCAGGCUCCAAGGGGACAAAUAAUAUAGAUGCCAGCAAAUGGCUUUGCUGUGUGCUCACUGGGAGAGAAACGCAUCAAAGAACUUCUCCUGGUAUUCUGGCUGAUGCCGGUCGCUUCUGCUGACUCAGGGAUGUAGCAGACCCUUGCGGCUUCUGCUGGAUUGAGCUGCCACUACUGAUUCAUGUUUGGUGUUUGCUGUUGGACCGGACUGCUGGUAUCCUGACAACAAAGAGAAGAAUCACCCCAAGAAGCUACUUCUAGUCCGGUCCACCCGUUUCCAAUUAACCUUCUUUUUCCACUUUGUCUGGUUGGUAAGUUAGAAGAGCGGUUGAAGAGUUUAAGAACCUUAAAUAAGGGGGCUCAAGAGAUGGCUCAUCAGUUAGGAUUACUGACUACUCUUCCAGAAAUCCCAGGUUCAAUUUCCAGCAACCACAUGGUAGUUCACAACCAUCUGUACUGGGAUCGGAUGCCCUCUUUUGGUGUUUCUGAAGACACCAACAAUGUACUCACAUAAAAUAGAAUAAAUAAAUCUUAAAACAAAC